AUUUGGAAAAGUCAUUCCACAGCCAGUAACAAGAAACAGGUCACAUGAAUUGGAGGAAAAGGCUGAGGCUAGUUCCUGUCAAGUACAACAAAGAGGGAAGGCCAUGGUAACCUCUGAAACAAAAGGAAGAUGAAGACCUGGGUGGAACAGAUCAUAGCAGCAAGAAACAAGAUACUAGUUACCUAGACAGGAAA